AUGUCCAAUGCCCAGGGAAAAUCAAAGAUAUGUGUCUUCCUUCAUACCCCUUAUCUCAUGAAGGAAGUCCUCUCUGCUCCAGCUUUGUUGUGUGUGUGUGUGUGUGUGUGUGUGUGUGUAGCAUGUACCAUAAUGGCUGUUGAAUUUCAUCAUAUGUUUUUCUCUGUGUCAACUGAGCUUGCUGGGCCUAUGCAGCUACUGUUUUGGGCUCAUUGCAAGCUGGCAGGCAGAGGAUCGAGCUCAGCUGUCCCGUGGGAGGUGUCCGGAGCCAGGGCCAGCAGUGGGCGGGGGCUGGCCACCCAUUCUGGCCGUGGGCCCUGGGGCCAGAUGUUUGGGCUUAACUGCCUGGCCAAGCAGGGAUAGAGUGACUGGGUAAUUAAGCACUACCUUCUACAGAGCUGGCAGAAGGUGGCAGGGGGCGGAGGGGCCUAAGACCAGAGUGCCCGACAGCACCCCCCUCCACCUCUGGCCUGCAGCGAGGGGCCGGGAGCCCGAACCCCAGGCUGGGCCCUCUGUUACUUUUGAUGGGGUGACCCAAAGCCAGGGUUCAUCUGCUCCCACCUGGACAUGGAAAAGGAGCCGUUUUCUUCCACGUUGGGGUGCUGCCCUGUGACCCCCCGACUACCCAGGGCAGAAGCUGUCCCCUCAGCCUCCCCAGGGAACCAGUCAGCAGUUAUUUAAGUCUCGGGGCUUAAUGAGAUCUGGGGAACAGAAUUCUCAGCGUGCUCCUUCGCCCGCUGGCAGGAGCACACAGUCCAUCCAUCAGGACCCCCAGACAUUAUCCGCCCCCCUCCCCCCGCCACGCAAGUAACUGGACCCUGUUGGCCUUUGCAGGUCUGCGGGGGCGCCAGCCUCCAUCACCUUCCACGACCUCUGAGCCGAGAGAGGAGGAGGAGGAGGAAAUGGUUUCCUGCCUGAGGCUGCAGGAGCCAGAAUCAGAGUAGCAGGGUCUUCCAAGACGGCCCCCAAUUUACAAACCAGCAAGCUGAGGCACAGAGAUGGGAAGGAGCCCACCCACGGUCACUUGAAGUGGGGCAGCCAUGGAAGCCCUAAUCUGGAAACCCAGGCCACAGUCAAAGCACGGAAAUUCCUAUCACCGUAUUCAGGGUUUGAGUCCCUGGCUCUGCUGUGUGCCCUUUGGCAAGGGGCCUGCCCUCUCUGAGCCUCAGAGUCCUGUCUGAAAUGGGGAUCAAAGUUCCUCCCUCAAAGGGCUGUGGUGAGGACUGGAUGUAGUAUAUUAAAAGUCCAUGCAGCGUUAGCACAGAAAAGUACAGGCAGGCGUGGUCACAAGCACUGUCGUUAACCGAACACAUUCUACAUGCCACGUUGUCCUUAUCCGCACUGCCACAUUUAAUCCUCACAACCCCACGAGGCAGGUGCUAUUGCUCUUCCCAUUUUACAGGUGAGAAAACUGAGGCUCAGAGAAGGGAGGGAAACUGCCAGAGUUCCACAGGCGGGACAUGGUUAAGCCAGAACUUGAACCCAGGUCAGUCUGACACCACUGUGGAAUAUUUUCUUUCUUUCUUUCUUUUUUAAUAAAGAUGGGGGUCUCACUAUGUUUCUGGUCUGGAACUCCUGGCCUCAAGCCAUCCUCCCACCUCGGCCUCCCAAAGUGCUGGGAUUAUAGACAUGAGCCACUACGGCCAGCCAAAACAUUAGUUUAAAAGCAAGAGCCCUGCGUGCCAAGCAUGGCCCACCACGUGUUCCCUGAGUGAUUCGGGGCACAUGACCAAACCUCUCUGUGCCUGGAUGCCCAGAUCUGCAGAAUGGGGAUAAAUACAAUAAUUGCUCUCAUACGACGGGCGCUUGUCAAGAGCCAUCGUAAGUACUCUCCUAGGUAUUAACUUAUUCAAUCAUUACAGCAACCCCAUGAGGCAUGUGUACUAUUAUUAUCCCUGUUUUAUAGUUGGAGAAGAUGAGACCCAGAGGUUAAGUAACUGGUUUAUGUUUACUCCCAGCAAGGACUCAAACUCAGGAAUCCAGGCUGCAAUACGCACCUCCUCAUCUGCUGAGCCGUGGUAACAGUACCCUCCUCGGCAGGCACUCGUUAAGACAAAAUGACAUCACCAUCCAUGCAAAGCCCUUAAAACAGAGCCUGACACAUAGGAA
ensembl:lncRNA